rnacentral:misc_RNA from 1 species
GAUGAAGAACGUAGCGAAAUGCGAUACUUGGUGUGAAUUGCAGAAUCCCGUGAACCAUCGAGUCUUUGAACGCAAGUUGCGCCCGAAGCCAUUAGGCCGAGGGCACGCCUGCCUGGGCGUCACACGUCGUUGCCCCCCCAUCUACUCCUUCGGGAUUGCGGGGGGCGGAUGAUGGCCUCCCGUGCGCCUCGUCGCGCGGUUGGCAUAAAUGCCAAGUCCUCGGCGACACACGCCACGACAAUCGGUGGUUGCGAAACCUCGGUUGCCCGUCGUGUGCGGUCGUCGCGCAUCGAGGGCUCGAAAAAAUUGCCGGGCUCCGGCUCGGCUUUCAACGCGACCCCAGGUCAAGCGGGGUUACCCGCUGAAUUUAAGCAUAUCAAUAAGCGGAGGA